rnacentral:rRNA from 1 species
GACGUAGGGCGCGAGCGUUGUCCGGAUUGAUUGGGCGUAAAGAGCUCGUAGGCGGUGUGUCGCGUCGGCCGUGAAAACCUGCAGCUUAACUGUGGGCUUGCGGUCGAUACGGGCAUCACUGGAGUUCGGCAGGGGAGACUGGAAUUCCUGGUGUAGCGGUGAAAUGCGCAGAUAUCAGGAGGAACACCGGUGGCGAAGGCGGGUCUCUGGGCCGAUACUGACGCUGAGGAGCGAAAGCGUGGGGAGCGAACAGG